CAGUAUAAAGAGGCUUUAAGACGACACAUCAAGCCAUGUCAGCACCUGCUGCAGUGCUUGUAUCGAGUUGCACACGGGCAACGCUCAGGCCUCAAGGCAGCUCACGAAGGCAGCGUUUUAUUUUAUUUUGCUGCUUGUUUGUGACAUCUUUAUGUCUUUGGCUCUUUUUUGCUUUCUCUGGGUCAAGACUAUAAUGCACUCCACAUGCCUGUUGCUAACUCAUCAUCAAGCCAUUGGGGAGAAUCUAUGUGCCGAAAUAGGUUUCGGUACAAUAAGAAAACCACUUCAUGUGUUUUACAUCUUGAAUAUAUCAAAACACUCUGGCCUUCCUGUGUGGAAUUUGCAUGUUCUCCCCGUGCUUGUAUGGAUUUUCUCUGGGUGCUCAAACUUCCUCCCACAUUCAAAAUACAGGUACAUGGUAAGUUCAGUGACGACUUUAAAUUGUCAAUAGACUGAAUGGUUGUUUUUCUACUGUAUAUUUAACCUGCGAUUGACUGCUGACCAAUUCAGGGUGUACCACCACCUCUUGUCCAAAGUCAGCUGCAUAGGCUACAGUUCACCCACAGCUUAAACAAGAACAAGAGGUAUAGGAAAUGGAUGGAUGUUGUGACUAUUACGCUUCCUUCUUUGAGUGUUCCUACAA